rnacentral:rRNA from 1 species
UACGGAAGGCAGCAGCGGGGAAUAUUGCACAAUGGGCGCAAGCCUGAUGCAGCCAUGCCGCGUGUAUGAAAAAGGCCUUCGGGUUGUAAAGUACUUUCAGUCGUGAGGAAGGUGUUAAGGUUAAUAACCUUAGCAAUUGACGUUAGCGACAGAAGAAGCACCGGCUAACUCCGUGCCAGCAGCCGCGGUAAUACGGAGGGUGCGAGCGUUAAUCGGAAUUACUGGGCGUAAAGGGCACGCAGGCGGUUAAUUAAGUUGGAUGUGAAAUCCCCGGGCUUAACCUGGGAAUGGCAUUCAAGACUGGUUAGCUAGAGUCUUGUAGAGGGGGGUUAGAAUUCCAUGUGUAGCGGUGAAAUGCGUAGAGAUGUGGAGGAAUACCGGUGGCGAAGGCGGCCCCUGGACAAAGACUGACGCUCAUGUGCGAAAGCGUGGGGAGCAAACAGGGAUUAGAUACC